GAUGAACGCUGGCGGCGUGCCUAAUACAUGCAAGUCAAGCGAACAGACGAGGAGCUUGCUCCUCUGACGUUAGCGGCGGACGGGUGAGUAACACGUGGAUAACCUACCUAUAAGACUGGGAUAACUUCGGGAAACCGGAGCUAAUACCGGAUAAUAUAUUGAACCGCAUGGUUCAAUAGUGAAAGACGGUCUUGCUGUCACUUAUAGAUGGAUCCGCGCCGCAUUAGCUAGUUGGUAAGGUAACGGCUUACCAAGGCAACGAUGCGUAGCCGACCUGAGAGGGUGAUCGGCCACACUGGAACUGAGACACGGUCCAGACUCCUACGGGAGGCAGCAGUAGGGAAUCUUCCGCAAUGGGCGAAAGCCUGACGGAGCAACGCCGCGUGAGUGAUGAAGGUCUUCGGAUCGUAAAACUCUGUUAUUAGGGAAGAACAAAUGUGUAAGUAACUAUGCACGUCUUGACGGUACCUAAUCAGAAAGCCACGGCUAACUACGUG
rnacentral:rRNA from 1 species